UCAUUCGAACUGCGUAACAAUGAGCCCCAGGGCCCAGCGGCUCCGCGAGCUUCCCAGCUCGACCCGAGCCCCUCUCGGCCCCUAAAGAGGCGGCGCCUCACGGCAGUCCCCCACCCGCGGCCGGCCGCCCACCCCGGGCCAACCUCCGACCCUCCGCCCACUCGCGAGGAGUUGAAGUCAAACUUUCCGGGGCAGCCCCGGCGCCGCGUCGGCCCCCUUCCCCCGCCCAGGCCCGCCCCAUCUCCGCACCCGGCUCGGCCACCCACCGCGCCACCCUGCCCGGAGCACCGUCCUCGCCUACGCCUCCCAGCCCCCGCCCCGAGACCUCCACGGGCCGCGCCGCCGCGAAGCCCAGUGGAGAAGAUGGCGUGUCAAUCACUAGGGUGAGCGCUUCGGAUUGGAUUGCUGCCGAGACUGCCGGGACCCGAGCCAAACUUUGCCCGCGAAAUGGAUUGUGGGUUUGUAGUCUCGGCCUAGCUGCGUUCCUCUUAGGAACUGCACGUCGGAGGAAACGAUUGGACUACAUAUCCCAGAAGCGCGUGCACAGUACAGGCUUGAUAGUAAACAAGAGUCAUAGGGACACGUGUAUCAGCUCGUUUGUUUUGGUGUCUGGGACAAAAGGGAGGGGGCGGAGGAAGUGAGUGUUUUAGAGCUUUGGCCUUUUCUCUUCCUCUGCUAGCACUUGAGAGCCGCCCCAAACCUCUCGCAGCACCCAUUCCGGGCCAUAAACAGCCAGAGUCGCUCGCUGCUCAAAGUUUGGCAGGAGGCCAAGGUAUUGUUUUAGUGCGAGGGGAAGGAGAUGACUGCACAAGCGGAAGCAGCGCUGCCUCGUGGGGGACCCAGUCACCCACAAAUCACGGCCCCAGGCAUAGUGGGGAUAAUAAAGGUGGUGCUGGGCUCCAGUGGGAAGACUUAGCAUUAUUUUAUCCUGAGCCUGGCCUCGCCCCUCCCGGGACAGCAGCUUGAGAUUUCUCUGCCAACUCUGUUCAGUUCACCCGAGAUUUUUUGAAUGCCGUCUACGUGCCAGGCACCGAGAGGCUUGGGGAUGAACUGUGAGAGAGAAGCUCGGGGUCUGGAGAAUUUACAAAGCUCGGGACGGGAGGGGCGAGGGGCGAUUACUACUGACUUUGGAAUUAAGGGAAGUCAAAGCGAUGUUUUCCAUAUUGACCAGCUUGCUCGUUGUUUAAGGUAAUCAGAGGGGUAUAAUGUGUGACUUAAACUGAUUUAAUUUGUGAAUUGUUAUCUGAAUUUCCUUGGUGAGUUUUUGUUAACCAGUUUUUCUCUCCAGAGGUCUUCCCAUUGAUGAAAGAAGAAUGUCUUCCCACUUCGUUUUCACUAGGAGUUCCUCAAGUUACUAAUGCUCUGACUCACCCGAGGAGGAUGGCUUCUCUGGCUUUAUAGUUACCUUCACUUUAAAUAAGGCUGUCCAGUCCCUAGUCUAUAAUUGAUGUUUUUACCAUUCCCAUUACAAAGGCAUUAUUCACCUUUUUUCUUUUGAACCUUUAGUGUUUAACCAUUUAAGCUAUGCUUUAGGUUUUAUAUCUUUAGAUCACUAUAUGUAUGCUUAAAAUUAAGGGCAGGAAACAUAUUAGUGAGAAAUCUAUAAAGUCAAACUUUUGGAAAGGAGCCUUAAAUCAUAGCUGGUUAUUCCUUUAAACCCCCUACAUUUCCUGAAUUUUUAAAUCUAUCUGAAACCCACAUAACAAAUCUGGAAAUCCAAAAUAACUUUCCCAUAUUGCAACAAGUUUCCAAAUUCUCUUAGGGAUUCCCUGUUCAAAUCCUUCAAUGGAAAUUAUGGAAUAGUCUUCCCUACCAUGUGAUCAAAGAUUCACUUUCUGUGUUCACAAAUAGUAAUCAAACAUUUUUUUGUAAUUCAGAGGACCAAUAAAAUGCCUAAAUUUUUCCCUGAGUAAAAAGGACAAGAUUUGUAUUUACAAUCAUUCAGAGAUUAAUGGAGUGACCCCAGGACUCGAAUGUGGCCCUGCUAUUCUGUGUAUUUUUAUUUUCUUCCCUUUUUUUUUUUUGACAGUGGAGGGUCAUUGUGCCCCAGAAUUGAAAAAUUGAAAAUAUGAACUCCAGUGUUUAAUUUCUUGACAGAAAGAAAAAUCCAUGGAAUUCCCCUGAUUACUGAAAACUAAAAUCUGAGCUAUUUAUGAGUAACUCCCUCCAGGAAACUAAAAAGCUUUCCCUCCCUGAAAAAUGAACUCUCAAGAGCUGGUGCCACUCCUUUCUCCCCUUCACUGUAUAAACCAUGAGAUCUACUUUUGGCUGAACCUUAACUUAUUUUAAAAGGUUUUUUAAUUGAAAGCGUUUACUAAAAGCCUUAGUGGAGGUAUUUUUAUUUGUGGAAUAAAUGGGAUGAUGUGAAGAAUAACUUCACCUACAGAAGAUGGCAAGAAUAACUUCACCUACAGAUCAAGCUGUUGUACAUUAUUAGAAAUGAUUAUCUUUUAAUAGCCCUGUAAAGGUUUUUCUAUCCAUUCAUUCAAAAAUAUUUAUUCAGUGCCUACUAUUGGUUGACCACUGUGCUAGUUGAUAAGGAUACAAAGAUAUAAAAUAUUUUCACAUACUCUCGUUUUUGUCCAAGUCAUUAAAUAGAAGAGUAAAAUUCUCAUAGUUCAGUCACAACUGAUUAAAUAUCAGUGUUAGAAUCUCUAUACCUCUAAGUGGACAAUUAGUCCUGUCUUCUGACUCUCCUGGGAAACUAAAUGCCUAGAUUAGUACCUUAUGUAUAUUUAACAGGAACAUCAUCAUUCAUUCUUGGAUGGCUAACAAAACCAGCCGACUCCUAAGCCAGAACAAAGAUCAAAGUACAAAACCAGUAAGAUCUCUUUAGAAAUCUUUACAUAUGUAAAUUCUACUCUUUCACUAAAACAGAUAUAAAGAAUUUUUUAUCACUAAUAUAUUAUUUAUAUAUAAUAAAAUAUAAAAUGAGGUUUAUAUUUUAUAUAAUGGAUAUAAAAUCUUUAUAUAUAUAUAAAGAACAUCUGUUCAUAAGACACUUCCAUGAUAAAACUGACAUUAAAAAAUUAGUUUCUUUAAAUAGCACCUACUUUUGGUUAGACAGAUAUGAUAUACACACACAUAUUACACAUAAACUAUGCCCAGAUAGGUCAAGAAGUUGUCUACUAACAUCCAAAUGUCUUUUCAGCAGUUUGUAAAAUACCUCUGUCUUUAUAAAGAAACAUCAAGUUCUAGUUUGUUAGUUAAAAAAAAAAACUAGAUAAAUCCUAUUUAGGGGUGAAAUUAAACAAUGUAUUUCCCUGGAUUCCACCACAUCUGGUACACCAAUGACUACUGUGCUGGACUAAGAAAGGUAGGAGAUAAAGCACAUGGCACUGCUUAAAUAUUUAAAAUAUUGCUGUUGGGGGAAUACCCUGGUUGCGCAGUGGUUAGGUCUCUAAGCUUUCCACUACCCCGCACUCCACGCCCCUCCCUCUUCCCCAAGCCUCUCGGUGUGGCCAAAAAAAAAAAAAAAAAUCGCUCUUCAAAAUGUUAAAAGGUAAUGAAAUCAUUCAAAUCAAGUACUCAAAUUAGAAAAUGGAGCACAUAGAUGGACUAAAAUAGUUAAGUGCCCAAACUUUUCAGGUAGUAUCUUUCUUGGCAGAUUAUUUAAACUCUUACACAAAUAUCCUUCCAUAUAUCUUAGUAUACUUUAUUAAAUGAGCUAAUUUUAUAAUUAUCUUAGUUCAAAGUACUCAGGUAAACUCAAAUUGUAAGGAAUUGCCUGGGAAUUAAAUGAUGAGGGCCCUUUCAGGACUGAGAAAUAUGUCUUUUGUGUUUGUAAUUUUUGAUGCAAUUAAAAGUUUAGAUUUUCCUCACAUGACCAUAAAGCAAGACCUUUCUUCAGUGGUUGAUAUGUGGGUGACAUAACGCAAUCACCAUUAGGAGGAAGAAUCAAGGAUUGUUGAAACACACAGAUACAGAGAACAGAGUAGUGGUUACUAGAGGGAAAGGGGCGCGGUGGGGGGAGGGAAAAAUGGGUUAAGCGGAUCAACUGUAUGGUGACAGAUGGAAACUAAAUUUUUGGUGGUGAGCACGCUGUAGUGUAUUCCGAAGUAGAAAUAGGUUGUACAUAUGAAACAUAUAAUGUUAUAAACCAAUGUUACCGCAAUAAAAAAUUUAAAAAGAAGAAUUGUUGGGUUUCUGAGAUAGGUAGAGUUUCUGGCUGGGAUACCUGUGGUGUGUCAGUGCUAUUGUCAAUGCUGUUGACAGAGAUAGGGAAUGUUGGAAAAAACAGAGAUGGGCACUGGGAGAAGGGGAAAGGAUGGGGUCAAGUUCAGAUGAUGAGCUCCCUGUGCAGGCAGGAAAUUUUUGUACCCAGUUCCUGUAAGCAGCUGAACAUAUUUGUCUGGCGUUUAGGACAGCCAAGUCUAGAGAAAUAAACGUGGGUGUCCUCAGCCCUCAAAAAGUUUUUGUAAGUUGUGCAAUUUAGUAUUACUGAAAAUGUAUUAGAGAAGGCAACAAUUCUAUUAAAAAAAUUUUUUUGGAUGUGGA